AUUGAACGCUGGCGGCAUGCCUUACACAUGCAAGUCGAACGGUAACAGGUCUUCGGAUGCUGACGAGUGGCGAACGGGUGAGUAAUACAUCGGAACGUGCCCGAUCGUGGGGGAUAACGAGGCGAAAGCUUUGCUAAUACCGCAUACGAUCUACGGAUGAAAGCGGGGGAUCUUCGGACCUCGCGCGGACGGAGCGGCCGAUGGCAGAUUAGGUAGUUGGUGGGAUAAAAGCUUACCAAGCCGACGAUCUGUAGCUGGUCUGAGAGGAUGAUCAGCCACACUGGGACUGAGACACGGCCCAGACUCCUACGGGAGGCAGCAGUGGGGAAUUUUGGACAAUGGGCAAAAGCCUGAUCCAGCCAUGCCGCGUGCAGGAUGAAGGCCUUUGGGUUGUAAACUGCUUUUGUACGGAACGAAAAGCCUCUUUCUAAUAAAGAGGGGUCAUGACGGUACCGUAAGAAUAAGCACCGGCUAACUACGUG
rnacentral:rRNA from 1 species